rnacentral:rRNA from 1 species
AACAGGAUUAGAUACCCUGGUAGUCCACGCCCUAAACGAUGUCUACUAGUUGUCGGGACUUAGUUGUCUUGGUAACGCAGCUAACGCGUGAAGUGGACCGCCUGGGGAGUACGGUCGCAAGAUUAAAACUCAAAGGAAUUGACGGGGACCCGCACAAGCGGUGGAUGAUGUGGAUUAAUUCGAUGCAACGCGAAAAACCUUACCUACCCUUGACAUGGUUGGAAUUCCGAAGAGAUUUGGAAGUGCUCGCAAGAGAACCAAUACACAGGUGCUGCAUGGCUGUCGUCAGCUCGUGUCGUGAGAUGUUGGGUUAAGUCCCGCAACGAGCGCAACCCUUGUCAUUAGUUGCUACAUUCAGUUGAGCACUCUAAUGAGACUGCCGGUGACAAACCGGAGGAAGGUGGGGAUGACGUCAAGUCCUCAUGGCCCUUAUGGGUAGGGCUUCACACGUCAUACAAUGGUACAUACAGAGGGCUGCCAAACCGCGAGGUGGAGCUAAUCCCAGAAAGUGUAUCGUAGUCCGGAUUGUAGUCUGCAACUCGACUACAUGAAGUUGGAAUCGCUAGUAAUCGCGGAUCAGCAUGUCGCGGUGAAUACGUUCCCGGGUCUUGUACACACCGCCCGUCACACCAUGGGAGCGGGUUUCGCCAGAAGUAGGUAGCUUAACCGUAAGGAGGGCGCUUACCACGGCGGGGUUCGUGACUGGGGUGAAGUCGUAACAAGGUAACC